UACGUAGGUGGCAAGCGUUGUCCGGAUUUACUGGGCGUAAAGAGCGCGCAGGCGGUCGUUCAAGUCGCGUGUGAAAGCCCCCGGCUCAACUGGGGAGGGUCACGCGAUACUGAUCGACUGGAAGGCAGGAGAGGGUAGUGGAAUUCCCGGUGUAGUGGUGAAAUGCGUAGAUAUCUGGAGGAACACCGGUGGCGAAGGCGGCAUCCUGGACCGGUAUUGACGCUGAGGCGCGAAAGCUAGGGGAGCAAACGGG
rnacentral:rRNA from 1 species